UGGGCGCAAGCCUGAUCCAGCCAUGCCGCGUGAGUGAUGAAGGCCUUAGGGUUGUAAAGCUCUUUUACCCGGGAAGAUAAUGACUGUACCGGGAGAAUAAGCCCCGGCUAACUUCGUGCCAGCAGCCGCGGUAAU
rnacentral:rRNA from 1 species